rnacentral:rRNA from 1 species
CCUACGGGAGGCAGCAGUGGGGAAUAUUGGACAAUGGGCCAAAGCCUGAUCCAGCCAUGCCGCGUGUGUGAAGAAGGCCUUCGGGUUGUAAAGCACUUUCAGUGGGGAAGAAAGCCUUGGGGCUAAUACCCUCGAGGAAGGACAUCACCCACAGAAGAAGCACCGGCUAACUCCGUGCCAGCAGCCGCGGUAAUACGGAGGGUGCGAGCGUUAAUCGGAAUUACUGGGCGUAAAGCGCGCGUAGGCGGUCUGAUAAGCCGGUUGUGAAAGCCCCGGGCUCAACCUGGGAACGGCAUCCGGAACUGUCAGGCUAGAGUGCAGGAGAGGAAGGUAGAAUUCCCGGUGUAGCGGUGAAAUGCGUAGAGAUCGGGAGGAAUACCAGUGGCGAAGGCGGCCUUCUGGACUGACACUGACGCUGAGGUGCGAAAGCGUGGGUAGCAAACAGGAUUAGAUACCCGUGUAGUC